rnacentral:ncRNA from 1 species
UACCUGGUUGAUCCUGCCAGUAGCAUAUGCUUGUCUCAAAGAUUAAGCCAUGCAUGUCUAAGUACACACGGGCGGGUACAGUGAAACUGCGAAUGGCUCAUUAAAUCAGUUAUGGUUUUUGGUCGCUCCUCCCGUUACUUGGAUAACUGUGUAUUCUGACUUCAUGCCGACGAGCGCCGACCUCCACGCGUGCAUUUAUCAGACAAACAACCGGCUCGCCGCGGCUUGUGACUCUAGAUACCUCAAGACCCGGAUUCGAAUGCUUAUCAAGAUGUACUGCGACUGUACCAUGGUCGAC